AAAUUCAUGUCUUCAUGGCAUCCGCAUUUUGACAGUAGCUGAAACCAAAGGAAAAUAUAAAGUUGCCCAAAGAAAGCAGGAAAGUUAAAAACAAUGAGCUGGACUCACAAAACAUAAGCAUGAAACAUAUAGGCGGAAAAAGAGGUGAAGAAAAUGUGAAAGGUACAACUGUAAAUGGGAAAUCAUUCCAAUUAUGGCUCAAUUAAGGCAAAAGCAACCAAGGACUCUGAUCCCUUAUACUGUUCACCUUACUGGAUACGACGAGAAAAAUCUAAAUGAGUGAGAGAUAAUAGACAUCAUAAGCAGAACAGACAGCCCCAGAUCAGUUAUAGUUGGUG
rnacentral:lncRNA from 10 species